GCAGGCGGGAAAUGCAUCUGGCGCAUGCGACAGAUGCAUUUCCCGCCUGCGACAGAUGCACUGUCGCCUGCGACAGAUGCACUGUCGCCUGCGACAGAUGCACUGUCGCCUGCGACAGAUGCACUG